UUUCUUCUUAUUUCUUUGUCUUCUUUCUUCCUCUUCUCGCACGAACACAGUGAGACAUGGAGAGAGAGAUCAUGAGAUUGAGAGAUGAGAGACAGAGAGAUGAGAGACAGAGAGAUGCGAGACAGAGAGAGAAUGCGAGAGAGUGAGAGAUGAGAUACUGAGAGAGAGGGAGAGUCAGAGAUCAAGAGAGAGACGAGACAGAGAGAGAACCUGACCUCCGGGAGGUCCGAUUUUUCUGGCCAACCACGAUGGGUCAGAGCAGAGGACGCCAGCAGAACUAAAGGACAUAAAUUCUGGCAAGGCAGCAUGAUUUUCAGCGGAACCCAGACCCAAUUUUUGGCGAACCUGUGCGCUGAAACCCAUCAAACCCACGAGACCUGUGACCCAUGAGCUGAACCCGUGACUGUGAGACCUGAGAACCCGAUCCUCCAUUAACGAACUCCGGCGGUUCAACAAGGGUCGAGGCGGUGGGCGAAGUCCGGUGGCCGGAGGAUGAGAUUUUCGGCGAGACAGAGCUGGGUUUUUCCGUGGGUCGUCGGAGGAGGCGAUUUUCGAUGACUUGGAGUGCAAUUCCAGCGAGCUUCAGUAGGAUUUUCCAGCGAGUCUUAAGUCCAGAAACUAUGGAUGACCCAGUUAGACGAAGUUAUUUCGUUGUAAUGGAGUAGACCUCGCUAAGAGCAAUAGAUCGCUGUGGACCGACCCAACAUUUAUAGUGUAUAGUAUGUGACUUUUUGGAGUUCAUAGCUUUGUAAAGAACUAUUAAUAGACAAGAAUAAGAAAAUAGGAAGUUAUAAUCUAUAUGUUGUAAAUGCAAGCUUCCAUUUAAAUGUUUUUAGCAA